UGGACUGAACUGAGAGCAGGGAGGAGAGGUGCGUGCCAGGUUGGAGUGCAGACACCGCCUGGGGAAUUCUGCUGGGGUCUGAAGCCUAGAAAUGUAGCUAAGGUGGACUGUGGGACAAAAGGAGGGCUUCUUAACACUGGAAGCUCCAGCGCAAGACCCUGCCACAGCCAGGGCAACCAGAGGACAGGCCAUGCGGAGCCCUGAGCAGAGGGCGACAGGCCUCCCGCAACCAGAGAGCAUAGCAAGGGGCCAGGAGUGCCUGGCAGUGAUAGGAACACAGAACACGCACCAGGGACAGGCAGGAGGCAACCAGCCAGGAGUGACGAAUGCAAACAAGAAAGUGGGGAAGGAUUGGAAGUCACAAGGGCUCCAGGAACCGCUGCAGUGAGACUGAGAGGAAGUGGCACUUAAGAGUGGGACGAGAUUUUGAGAUGAGCCUCUAAGACAAACCUGGAUGGGAUCAGCAAAGAUGCACACACAGCGAGCCCAGCCAGAGACUGGACAGACCGGCUCAAGGAAAGCCAAUGCUGGGGCACAGGCCGGGAGCACUUGGCAAGGCAAGGGAACAGGAUCCUGGGUCAAUGAGGCCAAGGAAAACAAGCCAGAAACCCUGGCCUGGAGCAGAAUCGAACCCAGUGCCUCACACGUGCCAGGAGAGUGUGCUACUGCUGAGCCCCAGCCCCAGCCCCAGUCCCAGAGGUGCAGUUUCCUCAGAAGCCUAUGCAGUUUAAAGAACUCUUCCUCCAGUCUGAACUUCAGUCUGAAGUGAUGGCCCUCCUUCAAGUUCCCACUGCACACCUGUUUCGAAGGACGUCUUACAGUACCUAUACAGUAUUUCUCCCACAGAACUGUGCGUUACUACAACCAGACGGUCCUUCCUUGAAUAGUUAGCUAUUCCGUCUGGUUUCAUUGUCCUUAACAAUGAAAAGCUGCUUAAUAAAAUGUUUGCUGAGGAACUCUAUAGAUCAAACUUAAGAAACAUCUUCUGGCCAACCUCAGGGACACAUGCCUGUCCCCCCAGCUACUGGACAGACUGAGGCAAAAGGAUCACUUGAGCCCAGGGUUCAAGGCCAGCCAGGGCAACCUAGUGAGAAUCUAGCUCCCAAGGGGAAAAAAGAAUAUUAGCCUUCCAGUAAGAGACGAACUGUUAUGUGCAACAUCCACAACCAAAAUAAAUAAAAUAAAAUAAAAUAAAUGAUUUGGCAAGAAGAAACAUUCAACAUUUUCUAAAAUUAACCAGCAACAGUAGCUGCUUUCCACAUACUGGCAUUCAUCUCUCAUAACUUAAGAGAAUUGGGCAACACUUCAUUCCAGGUGUUCUCCAGGUCUGCUAUUUUCGCUACCCUGCAUUUAACAGAGACUGCGAUGAGACAAUGCGCACCGAGGGCUCCUCUACCACUGAGGCUUAAGAGUGGAUCUGAGUGUCCUGGAAAUAGACCUUACGAGGUAAAACAAAACACUGGCUCAAAACAAGGAAGCGAACCAACAAAAGGCCCCACAGAUGGAAAACCUGCCACCUUCCGCCACCUCCCAAAGGUGGAGCCGGCCAGGAGCCGGGUUCCCGAGCGCGCUCCCGGGAGGGCCUGGUAUGGAGAGUCGGGACUUAGGUGGAGGCCCUGUGGCGCGGGCACCAGGACCCUCGGCCCCGGAGGCUGCUAGGUGGGCAGCGACCCUCCUGCGCCCCCAGGCCCUGCGGAGAGGGGCUCCGCGCCGCCCC